rnacentral:rRNA from 1 species
AGUGAACGCUGGCGGCAGGCCUAACACAUGCAAGUCGAGCGGCAGCGGGUCCUUCGGGAUGCCGGCGAGCGGCGGACGGGUGAGGAAUGCGUCGGAAUCUGCCUUUUUGUGGGGGAUAACGUAGGGAAACUUACGCUAAUACUGCAUACGACCUACGGGUGAAAGUGGGGGACCGCAAGGCCUCACGCAGAAAGAUGAGCCGACGUCGGAUUAGCUAGUUGGCGGGGUAAAGGCCCACCAAGGCGACGAUCCGUAGCUGGUCUGAGAGGAUGAUCAGCCACACUGGAACUGAGACACGGUCCAGACUCCUACGGGAGGCAGCAGUGGGGAAUAUUGGACAAUGGGCGCAAGCCUGAUCCAGCCAUGCCGCGUGUGUGAAGAAGGCCUUCGGGUUGUAAAGCACUUUUGUCCGGAAAGAAAUCCUGUCGGCUAAUACCCGGCGGGGAUGACGGUACCGGAAGAAUAAGCACCGGCUAACUUCGUG